rnacentral:lncRNA from 1 species
CCCCAUUCCAUGGCAUUAGGGAGGCGGAAGGGAACUCCCUUUCUGCUUCCUGGAAUCCAGGCUGGCUUGGUGACUUGCCGACCACAGAACGCUGUGGAAGGGACAUUCUGGGGCUUCCCAUCUCCAACAUAAGAAGGCAGGACUUGCUUCUGUGAGGUACUGAGCCACCCGUCCCUGGAGGAAAGCAAGAACAGAGCAGAUCAGAGCCCAGGCAGACAUCUUGGAUGAUGGGGUACAUCUUGCCAUCCAGAGGCAAUGCUGGAGCGGGCAGUUGUCUGCGGGGAGGCCCUGGCUCACUCUGGGCCAAAUAACAGGACUGAUUGCAGCCUGCGAUGAAACAUCCUGUUUCUCCCAACCAGAAACAGGUAGAGGAGCUGCUUUAGGAUGGAAGAUGAGGCUUGCUUUUUCUUUCUCCUAGAAGUCAGCAUUUUACAUGAUUCUGGGAGGGAAGAAAGGAGACAGGAACCAAGGAGCCUGAGUGGGGAUUUGCCCACCACUGGGCAGCCAGGCUCCCGUCAGGAAGGCUUUUCAGAGGGAGUGUUGGAAGGAGUCGUCGAGGAGUCUUCCUCACCCAGGAAGUCUUCCUCACCGGGUGAGCCCCAACCUGCUGGACCUGCUCAGAAUUUGCCCAACAGGGGAUCCUGGUUGACUGAGGUCUGCUAAUUCCAACUGGCCUACGCUAAAUUCUCCCAGAAUGUCUUCAUCAUCAAUGAAUCGCUUUCCACUGACACGACGCCUGGAAGAACAUAAACACUGUGAGGAUAAAUGCCAAUGAAAUAAUAAUAAAAUAAACUUUCUUUGGUGGCCAGAGGGAAACAGAAUGCCUACCCAUUUCCCCACCCCCCGCCCCGCCGCUGCCCCUUGCAGGAUUUCUUUUAGAAAACUAGUAUUUGUAAAUCAUUUUCCUACCUAUUGGAGAUGAGUGCCAACCUUUUUAAAGGCCAAGUGAGCCUCUUUUUUUAAUACUCUAGGAAUGCGUCUUGGAGGGGUUGCAGUCAUCUUUUUGGGAUCUGAACAUUCAUUCACAGCUGUCAGCUUAUGUCCUUGUAUCUGACGGCACUGACCUAGGUGCAUGGCUGCCAGAAGUAACUUCCUGCUUGUCACAAAAAUGCAAUCUCCUGCCUGCCCCUGAUUCUCCCCAGCCCUGGCUUUGGAUAAAGACAAUUAAUAUGAACGUGAUGAAUUGCGUCUCUCUGGCUAUGUAAAAAAGGGAUAUUUAUUUCCACUUUUGACUCUAAAACUUUGAGUUUGUUUGUUAACAUGGCAAAACAAUUCUUUCUGAUCAAAUCAUCUACACACAGGUGCACUCAGGUAUCUUACAAAAAUGGAUUCAUGAACACUUAAUGCUUUUAAUCAGCUUUGUUUCCCAAUGAAGUAUCUCCUAGACACAUUUUCUAUUUACUUCUUGAUUCAUUUACAUAUUUAUUUAUAAAAUAUUAUUGAACAAGAUUAUUAAAGAUGAUGGUGAAAUAACAGUAAAUAAAGAAACCAAUGACAAUUCCAGUUGAUCCAGGCAGUCGUUUAAAAAUGUAUUCACCCAGACUCUUGUCAUCUUGUUUGCAGAUUGUCGUUGGAAAUGCAUUUUGCCCAACUUUUUUAUUCUUAAGGGAAAAACUAUAAAAAGAAAGCUGCUCAUGAUUUGGAUUCUUUCAGAUAUAAGUUUUACUUUGACAUAGAUUCAUGUUAACUCAAGAAAUAAAUUCACA